UGACAUUCAGCAUUGGCAAAAUAACCUCC
rnacentral:piRNA from 1 species